GAUGAACGCUGGCGGCGUGCCUAAUACAUGCAAGUCGAGCGAACGGACGAGAAGCUUGCUUCUCUGAUGUUAGCGGCGGACGGGUGAGUAACACGUGGAUAACCUACCUAUAAGACUGGGAUAACUUCGGGAAACCGGAGCUAAUACCGGAUAAUAUUUUGAACCGCAUGGUUCAAAAGUGAAAGACGGUCUUGCUGUCACUUAUAGAUGGAUCCGCGCUACAUUAGCUAGUUGGUAAGGUAACGGCUUACCAAGGCAACGAUGCAUAGCCGACCUGAGAGGGUGAUAGGCCACACUGGAACUGAGACACGGUCCAGACUCCUACGGGAGGCAGCAGUAGGGAAUCUUCCGCAAUGGGCGAAAGCCUGACGGAGCAACGCCGCGUGAGUGAUGAAGGUCUUCGGAUCGUAAAACUCUGUUAUUAGGGAAGAACAUAUGUGUAAGUAACUGUGCACAUCUUGACGGUACCUAAUCAGAAAGCCACGGCUAACUACGUG
rnacentral:rRNA from 1 species